UUGUUUCAAUUUGCAUCUAUACAACUAUAAACGACGGUCAUGUAAAAUAUUGUUGGCACUGAUACUAUCUUUAAAUUUUGAGCACCAAAUUUGUAUGGGCGUGGAAGUGAUUAAUAUAGAAUUUUUAUAUUAUUUCAUAUUUGAUUGAUAAAUAUUCAUAGUAUUCAUUGAUUUAAAAUGUCUUAUUUCUUAUAUCUAGUGCAUGGUCGAUUGUUAUCUAACUUUUGGGUCAGUUGUGAGAUAUUGUUGAUCUUUAUUUACAAAUUGUGUACUCUAGGUGGUCGCUAUUGAAAGACGAUCAACAUAUUAUCUGAUUUUUGAUUACAUCUAAGUAUUGGG
rnacentral:sRNA from 1 species